AAAGGUGAAAAGCACCCCGGGAGGGGAGUGAAAGAGAACCUGAAACGCUGUGCCUGCAAGCUGCGGGAGCACUUCACAUGUGUGACCGCGUACUUUUUGUAGAACGGUCCGGCGAGCUGCGUGUGCUGGCAAGGCUAAGGGCUUCAGGCCCGGAGCCGCAGGGAAACCGAGUUUUAACUGAGCGCGAGUCAGCAGACGCAGGCCCGAAACCGGGGGACCUAUCCAUGUCCAGGCUGAAGCCACUGUAAGAGGUGGUGGAGGGCCGCAGCCACAUCCGUUGAAAAGGGUGGGCAUGAGGUGUGGAUAGCGGAGAAAUUCCAAUCGAACCCGGAGAUAGCUGGUUCUCCCCGAAAUAGCUUUAGGGCUAGCGCCAUAUAUGUCCAUACGGAGGUAGAGCACUGAAUACCCGCGGGGGCGUCGCAGCCUACCAAAGGUUAUCAAACUGCGAAUGCCGUGAUGGAAGAGUAUGGCAGUCAGACUGUACGAGAUAAGUUGGACAGUCGAGAGGGAAACAGCCCAGACCUGCAGCUAAGGCCCCGAAGUGCGUGUUAAGUGGUAAAGGAUGUGGGUCCUCCAGGACAGCUAGGACGUUGGCUCAGAAGCAGCCAUCCAUUCAAAGAGUGCGUAAUAGCUCACUAGCCGAGAGGGCCUGCGCCGAAAAUGACCGGGGCUCAAACACGCCGCCGAAGCUCAGGAAUCAUUCAUGAUUGGUAGGGGAGCAUUGAUGGAGCGCGGAAGCCGUACCGUAAGGGGCGGUGGAGUUCCAUGAAGGGAGAAUGCCGGAAUGAGUAGCGAGAUGGGGGUGGGAAUCCCCCAGGCCGAAUAUCCAAGGAUUCCAGGGUAAAGCUGAUCUGCCCUGGGGAAGUCGGGACCUAAGGUCAGGCCGAAAGGCGUAGCCGAUGGACAGCAGGUUUAUAUUCCUGCACCAUGCAGUAUCAGAACUGCGGGGACACGGAGAGGAAGCGCGAGCCCGGGACGGAGCCGGGUCCAAGCGGGGCAGCCGCGUAGGAGGAAAACCCCUUACGCACAAGGCCAUCCCGUGACGGGGAGCGAACAAUAAGUAGCGAAGAGCGUGGAGGAGCCGUCGAGAAAAGCCGCUAUCGUGUACUGCAUGCCCGUACCGUAAACCGACACAGGUGGAUGAGGAGAGGAUCCUAAGGCUGACGGAAGAAGCAUUGCCAAGGAACUCGGCAAAAUGUCCCCGUAACUUCGGGAGAAGGGGAGCCUGGGCGACCAGGCCGCAGAGAAGAGGCCCAAGCAACUGUUUAGCAAAAACACAGGUCUGUGCGAAACCGAAAGGUGAAGUAUACGGGCUGACGCCUGCCCGGUGCUGGAAGGUUAAGAGGAGAGGUUAGCGCAAGCGAAGCUUUGAAUUCAAGCCCCAGUAAACGGCGGCCGUAACUAUAACGGUCCUAAGGUAGCGAAAUUCCUUGUCGGGUAAGUUCCGACCCGCACGAAAGGCGUAAUGAUUUGGGCGCUGUCUCGGCAAUGCAUCCGGUGAAAUUGAAGUGCCAGUGAAGAUGCUGGCUACCCGCGCCAGGACGGAAAGACCCCAUGGAGCUUUACUCCUGUUUGGCACUGGGAUCCGGUAUCAUCUGCACAGGAUAGGUGGGAGGCGAAGAAGCAAAGGUCCCGGCUUAUGCAGAGCCGCUGUUGGGAUACCACCCUUAU
rnacentral:rRNA from 1 species